UAUCAGAAGUGCGAAUGCUGACAUAAGUAACGAUAAAGCGGGUGAAAAGCCCGCUCGCCGGAAGACCAAGGGUUCCUGUCCAACGUUAAUCGGGGCAGGGUGAGUCGACCCCUAAGGCGAGGCCGAAAGGCGUAGUCGAUGGGAAACGGGUUAAUAUUCCCGUACUUGGUGUUACUGCGAAGGGGGGACGGAGAAGGCUAUGUUGGCCGGGCGACGGUUGUCCCGGUUUAAGCGUGUAGGUGUGUGUUCCAGGUAAAUCCGGUUCACUUUAACACUGAGGCGUGACGACGAGGCACUACGGUGCUGAAGCAACAAAUGCCCUGCUUCCAGGAAAAGCCUCUAAGCAUCAGGUAACAUCAAAUCGUACCCCAAACCGACACAGGUGGUCAGGUAGAGAAUACCAAGGCGCUUGAGAGAACUCGGGUGAAGGAACUAGGCAAAAUGGUGCCGUAACU
rnacentral:rRNA from 3 species